rnacentral:rRNA from 1 species
UACAGAGGUCCCAAGCGUUGUUCGGAUUCACUGGGCGUAAAGGGUGCGUAGGUGGUCGGGUAAGUCUGAUGUGAAAUCUCGGAGCUUAACUCCGAAACUGCAUUGGAUACUAUUCGGCUGGAGGGUUGGAGGGGGGACUGGAAUUCUCGGUGUAGCAGUGAAAUGCGUAGAUAUCGAGAGGAACACCUGAGGCGAAGGCGGGCUACUGGGCCGAUACUGACGCUGAUGCGCGAAAGCCAGGGGAGCGAACGGG